AUGACCGAUUCCAAGGUGGUGGACGCCCAGGCCGGCUACGAAUCCGCCAUGACCAGCGUGCUGGUGGCCCUGGCCGGGGCCAACUUCAUCCAUGACGCCG
rfam:Desulfurivibrio alkaliphilus AHT2, complete genome.